rnacentral:rRNA from 2 species
UUCGCAAUGCCCGAAAGGGUGACGAAGCGACGCCGCGUGGGUGAGGAAGGCCUUCGGGUUGUAAAGCCCUGUCAGGAGUUAAGAAAUGUAAGUGCGCUAAUAUCGCAUUUACUUGACGAAGGCUCCAAAGGAAGCCACGGCUAACUCUGUGCCAGCAGCCGCGGUAAUACAGAGGUGGCAAGCGUUGUUCGGAAUUAUUGGGCGUAAAGAGCACGUAGGUGGGUUUGUAAGUCAGAUGUGAAAGCCUUCUGUUCAACGGAAGAAUUGCAUCUGAAACUGCAAAUCUUGAGUAUAGGAGGGGAGAAUGGAACUUCUGGUGGAGCGGUGAAAUGCGUAGAUAUCAGAAGGAACGCCGGCGGCGAAAGCGACUCUCUGGCCUAUUACUGACACUGAGUGUGCGAAAGUUAGGGGAGCAAACGGGAUUAGAUACCCCGGUAGUCCUAACUGUAAACGAUGGGCACUAAGUAGAGGGGUUUU